rnacentral:rRNA from 1 species
AUUGAACGCUGGCGGCAGGCCUAACACAUGCAAGUCGAACGAGUGGCGGACGGGGGAGAAAUGUCUGGGAAACUGCCCGAUGGAGGGGGAUAACAACUGGAAACGGUAGCUAAUAUCGCAUAUCAUCGGAUGUGCCCAGAUGGGAUUAGCUUGUAGGUGAGGUAACGGCUCACCUAGGGGACGAUCCCUAGCUGGUCUGAGAGGAUGACCAGCCACACUGGAACUGAGACACGGGCCAGACUCCUAAGGGAGGCAGCAGUGGGGAAUAUUGCACAAUGGGCGCAAGCCUGAUGCAGCCAUGCCGCGUGUAUGAAGAAGGCCUUCGGGUUGUAAAGUACUUUCAGCGGGGAGGCGUUACCCGCAGAAGAAGCACCGGCUAACUCCGUGCCAGCAGCCGCGGUAAUAC